GUGAGGAAUUUUCCGCAAUGGGCGAAAGCCUGACGGAGCAAUGCCGCGUGAAGGAUGAAGGCCUAUGGGUUGUAAACUUCUUUUCUCAGAAAAGAAUUAUGACGGUAUCUGAGGAAUAAGCAUCGGCGAACUCUGUGCCAGCAGACGCGGUAAGAUAGAGGAUGCAAGCGUUAUCAGGAAUGAUUGGGCGUAAAGCGUCUGUAGGUUGUUUAAAAAGUAUUCUGUCAAAGAUUAGGGCUUAACCCUAGAUAGGCAGAAUAAACUUUUAAGCUAGAGUUUUGUAGAGGCAGAGGGAAUUCCCGGUGGAGCGGUGAAAUGCGUAGAUAUCGGUAGGAACACCAAAGGCGAAGGCACUCUGCUGGGCCAAUACUAACACUGAGAGACGAAAGCGAGGGGAGCAAAUGGGAUUAGAUACCCCAGUAGUCC
rnacentral:rRNA from 1 species